UAAGCAUAUCAAUAAGCGGAGGAAAAGAAACUAACAAGGAUUCCCCUAGUAACUGCGAGUGAAGCGGGAAAAGCUCAAAUUUAAAAUCUGGCGGUCUAUGGCCGUCCGAGUUGUAGUCUGGAGAAGUGCUUUCCGCGCUGGACCGUGUACAAGUCUCUUGGAACAGAGCGUCAUAGAGGGUGAGAAUCCCGUCUUUGACACGGACUACCAGUGCUUUGUGAUGCGCUCUCAAAGAGUCGAGUUGUUUGGGAAUGCAGCUCAAAAUGGGUGGUAAAUUCCAUCUAAAGCUAAAUAUUGGCGAGAGACCGAUAGCGAACAAGUACCGUGAGGGAAAGAUGAAAAGCACUUUGGAAAGAGAGUUAAACAGUACGUGAAAUUGCUGAAAGGGAAACGCUUGAAGUCAGUCGCGUUGGCCAGGACUCAGCCUUGCUUUUGCUUGGUGCAUUUUCUGGUUGACGGGCCAGCAUCGAUUUUGAUCGCCGGAAAAAGGCUGGGGGAAUGUGGCACCUUCGGGUGUGUUAUAGCCUUCAGUCACAUACGGCGGUUGGGAUCGAGGACCGCAGCACGCCUUUAUGGCCGGGGUUCGCCCACGUUCGUGCUUAGGAUGCUGGCGUAAUGGCUUUAAACGACCCGUCUUGAAACACGGACCAAGGAGUCUAACAUGCCUGCGAGUGUUUGGGUGGUAAACCCGAGCGCGUAAUGAAAGUGAAAGUUGAGAUCCUUAUCAUGAGGAGCAUCGACGCCCGGACCUGAACUUCGGUGAUGGAUCUGCGGUAGAGCAUGUAUGUUGGGACCCGAAAGAUGGUGAACUAUGCCUGAAUAGGGUGAAGCCAGAGGAAACUCUGGUGGAGGCUCGUAGCGAUUCUGACGUGCAAAUCGAUCGUCAAAUUUGGGUAUAGGGGCGAAAGACUAAUCGAACCAUCUAGUAGCUGGUUCCUGCCG
rnacentral:rRNA from 2 species